AGUGAACGCUGGCGGUAGGCCUAACACAUGCAAGUCGAACGGCAGCACAGUAAGAGCUUGCUCUUACGGGUGGCGAGUGGCGGAUGGGUGAGGAAUACAUCGGAAUCUACUUUUUCGUGGGGGAUAACGUAGGGAAACUUACGCUAAUACCGCAUACGACGUACGGGUGAAAGCAGGGGAUCUUCGGACCUUGCGCGAUUGAAUGAGCCGAUGUCGGAUUAGCUAGUUGGCGGGGUAAAGGCCCACCAAGGCGACGAUCCGUAGCUGGUCUGAGAGGAUGAUCAGCCACACUGGAACUGAGACACGGUCCAGACUCCUACGGGAGGCAGCAGUGGGGAAUAUUGGACAAAGGGCGCAAGCCUGAUCCAGCCAUACCGCGUGGGUGAAGAAGGCCUUCGGAUUGUAAAGCCCUUUUGUUGGGAAAGAAAAGCAGCAGGUUAAUACCCCGCUGUUCUGACGGUACCCAAAGAAUAAGCACCGGCUAACUUCGUG
rnacentral:rRNA from 1 species